rnacentral:rRNA from 1 species
GACGAACGCUGGCGGCGUGCUUAACACAUGCAAGUCGAACGGAAAGGCCCUGCUUUUGUGGGGUGCUCGAGUGGCGAACGGGUGAGUAACACGUGAGUAACCUGCCCUUGACUUUGGGAUAACUUCAGGAAACUGGGGCUAAUACCGGAUAGGAGCUCCUGCUGCAUGGUGGGGGUUGGAAAGUUUCGUCGGUUGGGGCUGGACUCGCGGCUUAUCAGCUUGUUGGUGGGGUAGUGGCUUACCAGGGCUUUGACGGGUAGCCGGCCGGGGAGGGUGACCGGCACCAUGGGACUGGGGUGCCGGCCCGGAGCCCACCGGGAGGCAGAGGGGGGGAUUUUGGCCAAAGGGGCGGAAUCAGUAGCGAACACCCCCGCGGCGGGAAGAUCGGCUUUGGGGUUGUAACCCCUUUUCCCCUUAGAGGGGAGGUGGUGAGGGUAAAUGGUUAAAGAAGCAGCGGCAAACUCAGG